rnacentral:rRNA from 1 species
GAAAAGCAUCGACGCGAGGUUUUAGCCGCCCGUACCCCAAACCGACACAGGUGAUCAGGUAGAGAAUACUAAGGCGAUCGAGAGAAUUAUGGUUAAGGAACUCGGCAAAAUGCCCCCGUAACUUCGGGAGAAGGGGGGCCCCAACCUUGAACGGACUACGCGUCCGGGAGGGGAUCGGGGCCGCAGAGACCAGGGGGAAGCGACUGUUUACUAAAAACACAGGUCCGUGCGAAGUCGCAAGACGAUGUAUACGGACUGACUCCUGCCCGGUGCUGGAAGGUUAAGAGGACCGGUUAGCCUCACGGCGAAGCUGAGA